UACAGAGGGUGCGAGCGUUGUCCGGAAUUACUGGGCGUAAAGGGCGCGUAGGCGGCUUGGUAAGUCGGGGGUGAAAGUCAGCGGCUCAACCGCUGGACUGCCUUCGAGACUGCCUGGCUUGAGCAUGGUAGAGGCUGGCGGAAUUCCCGGUGUAGCGGUGGAAUGCGUAGAGAUCGUAAGGAAGACCAGUGGCGAAGGCGGGUCUCUGGACAGUUCCUGACACUGAGGCACGAAGGCCAGGGGAGCAAACGGG
rnacentral:rRNA from 1 species